GCCUUCAUAGUUCAAUGGAUAGAACAAGGGACUUCUAAGCCCGGGAUUGUGGUUCGAUUCCACAUGGAGGCA
rnacentral:tRNA from 2 species